UGUUGCUGGGGUAUGAAAUAGCUCGACCAUAAGGACCCGAGUGAUAACGACGGGGUAUGAAAUAGCUCGACCAUAAGUACGAGGGUAUCGACAGAUAGAGCUCGAGCGAAUAUUAUGCGAGAGGGUAUCGACAGAUAGAGCUCGAGCGUAUGCGAGAGGGGCGACUAAAAGAAUAGCAGUAUUGAGGCAGCGCAAUACCAUCAUGACUUUUGGGAAUCAACCGAUUGAGCUCGCCCGAAGGGCGAGGGGCGAAGAGCUGAACGAAGGGAAGGGUAUCUUUAGAUAUGCUCGACUGAUAAGGAGAGGGGCGAAGAGCUGAGAAGAAACGACAGGGAAGGGGGAUUGUAGAGACAGAUAUGCUCGACUAAUAUUGAUAAGGUAAGAGUAAAUGGCCGUUGAGCCAUUUACGACUGUUGCUGUGGGGCGAAGAGCUGAGAAGAAACGAAGGGAAGGAUUAUCAUAUAACGUGAGACGAUAGUCGACUGGCGAAGAGCUGAACGAAGGGAAGGGGGAUUGUAGAGUCAGAUAGCUCGACUGAUAUAAGGAGAGGAAAUAAGGAAUGUUGAAUGGGAACUGGGAAAGGAA